rnacentral:rRNA from 1 species
UACGUAGGGUGCGAGCGUUGCCCGGAUUUACUGGGCGUAAAGGGCGCGUAGGCGGCAAUUCAAGUCAGUUGUGAAAUCUCCGAGCUUAACUCGGAACGGUCAACUGAUACUGCUUUGCUAGAGUACAGAAGGGGCAAUCGGAAUUCUUGGUGUAGCGGUGAAAUGCGUAGAUAUCAAGAGGAACACCUGAGGUGAAGACGGGUUGCUGGGCUGAUACUGACGCUGAGGCGCGAAAGCUAGGGUAGCAAACGGG